rnacentral:rRNA from 1 species
ACUCAAAUGAAUUGACGGGGGCCCGCACAAGCGGAGGAACAUGUGGUUUAAUUCGAUGAUACGCGAGGAACCUUACCUGGGCUCGAACGCUGGGGGAAUAUAGGAGAAAUCUUAUAGCUAGCAAUAGCCGCCAGCGAGGUGCUGCAUGGUUGUCGUCAGCUCGUGCCGUGAGGUGUCGGCUUAAGUGCCAUAACGAGCGCAACCCUUAUCAUUAGUUGCCAGCGGGUAAAGCCGGGGACUCUAAUGAAACUGCCAGCGUAAGCUGUGAGGAAGGUGGGGAUGACGUCAAAUCAGCACGGCCCUUACGUCCAGGGCUACACACGUGUUACAAUGGGUGGUACAGAGGGCAGCUACUCCGCGAGGAGAUGCUAAUCUUCAAAGCCAUUCACAGUUCGGAUUGGAGUCUGCAACUCGACUCUAUGAAGCUGGAUUCGCUAGUAAUCGCGCAUCAGCCACGGCGCGGUGAAUACGUUCCCGGGCCUUGUACACACCGCCCGU